GACGAACGCUGGCGGCGUGCUUAACACAUGCAAGUCGAACGGAAAGGCCCUGCUUUUGUGGGGUGCUCGAGUGGCGAACGGGUGAGUAACACGUGAGUAACCUGCCCUUGACUUUGGGAUAACUUCAGGAAACUGGGGCUAAUACCGGAUAGGAGCUCCUGCUGCAUGGUGGGGGUUGGAAAGUUUCGGCGGUUGGGGAUGGACUCGCGGCUUAUCAGCUUGUUGGUGGGGUAGUGGCUUACCAAGGCUUUGACGGGUAGCCGGCCUGAGAGGGUGACCGGCCACAUUGGGACUGAGAUACGGCCCAGACUACUACGGGAGGCAGCAGUGGGGAAUAUUGCACAAUGGGCGGAAGCCUGAUGCAGCAACGCCGCGUGCGGGAUGACGGCCUUCGGGUUGUAAACCGCUUUCGCCUGUGACGAAGCGUGAAUGACGGUAAUGGGUAAAGAAGCACCGGCUAACUACGUG
rnacentral:rRNA from 1 species